UUAGUGCACGCCUCUGUUAUGGUAAAACCGCAAACGGCUCAUUAAAUCAGCUAUGGUUCCUUGGAUCGUACAUACUACACGGAUAACUGUAGUAAUUCUAGAGCUAAUACGUGCCCCGUGUGCCUGAUUCCCAAGAAGAAGGCCGCACUUAUUAGACCAUUAACCAACCGGGUUUACUCGGAAUUUAUGGUGACUCUGGAUAACUUUGUAUGAUCGCAGUCGGCCUAGUUGUCGGCGACGGAUCCAUGAAGUGUCUGCCCUAUCAACUUACGAUGGUAGGUGAUAUGCCUACCAUGGUUAUGACGGGUAACGGGGAAUCAGGGUUCGAUUCCGGAGAGGGAGCCUGAGAAACGGCUACCACAUCCAAGGAAGGCAGCAGGCGCGCAAAUUACCCACUCUCGGCGAGAGGAGGUAGUAAAGACAAAUAACGAUACAGAACUCAUUAGAGGCUCUGUAAUCGAAAUGAGUGCAUUAUAAAUCCUACAACGAGGAUCUAUUGGAGGGCAAGUCUGGUGCCAGCAGCCGCGGUAACUCCAGCUCCAAUAGCAUAUAUUAAUAUUGCUGCAGUUAAAAAGCUCGUAGUUGGAUCUGGGUUUAGCUGGAGACUGUUGAUUCGUGCUCUUUACGGGCUGAUAAACGGUAUAUCUAGACCGAAUCUUCCAGCUGUGUCUUCGCAGUGCUUCGGCAUUGCAAAGAUAGUUACAGUUGUCAGUAAGGUUCCUCCGGGUUCCUCUGCACUGUUGCUAUACACUAUAAUGCUCUUUAUUGGGUGUUUGGUGUGGACAGCACGUUUACUUUGAACAAAUUUGAGUGCUCAAAGCAGGCCGAUGCGCCUGAAAAGUCUUGCAUGGAAUAAUAGAAUAGGACUUCGGUCCUAUUUUGUUGGUUUAAUAGACCCGAAGUAAUGAUAAAAAGAGACAGACGGGGGCAUUUGUAUGGCAGCGCUAGAGGUGAAAUUCAUGGACCGUUGCCAGACAACCUAAAGCGAAAGCAUCUGCCAAGGAUGUUUUCAUUUACCAGGAGCGAAAGUCAGAGGUUCGAAGACGAUCAGAUACCGUCCUAGUUCUGACCAUAAACGGUGCCAUCUGAUGAUCCGUGGGCUACCUUUUGGUACCCACGGGCAAUCUCCGGGAAACCUGUAAGACUAUGGGUUCCGGGGAAAGUAUGGUUGCAAAGCUGAAACUUAAAGGAAUUGACGGAAGGGCACCACCAGGAGUGGAGCUUGCGGCUUAAUUUGACUCAACACGGGGAAACUCACCCGGACCGGACACUAUGAGGAUAGACAGAUUGAUAGCUCUUUCUUGAUUUGGUGAUUAGUGGUGCAUGGCCGUUCUUAGUUCGUGGUAUGAAUUGUCUGGUUAAUUCCGAUAACGAACGAGAUUCUAACCUGCUAAAUAGUUCAUUUGUAACUAUGUGUAGUGUGUGCUCAAUGAUCUUCGGACUGUUGAGCGCCAUUACACAAGCAUAUGAUACUUCUUAGAGGGAUUGAUGGUCCUUAAGCCGUACGAGAGAGAGCAAUAACAGGUCUGUGAUGCCCUUAGAUGUUCGGGGCCGCACGCGUGCUACACUGACAGUGGUAGAGAGUUUGAUUUCCUCGGGCGAAAGUCUUGGGCAAACUUUUCAAUUACUGUCGUGCCUGGGAUCGGGGUUUGUAAUUAUCCCCCGUGAACCAGGAAUUCCUAGUAAGCACAAUUCAUCAGAUUGUGCUGAAUACGUCCCUGCCCUUUGUACACACCGCCCGUCGCUACUACCGAUUGAAUGGUUUAGCAAGGUCAAUGGAUUGAUUGCAAAUAGGUGUAAAUCUGUUGCGGUUGAGAAGCUGGCCG
rnacentral:rRNA from 1 species